UUUGAUGGCGACCGGCGCACGGGUGAGUAACACGUAUCCAACCUGCCGAUGACUCGGGGAUAGCCUUUCGAAAGAAAGAUUAAUACCCGAUGGCAUAGUUCUUCCGCAUGGUAGAACUAUUAAAGAAUUUCGGUCAUCGAUGGGGAUGCGUUCCAUUAGGUUGUUGGCGGGGUAACGGCCCACCAAGCCUUCGAUGGAUAGGGGUUCUGAGAGGAAGGUCCCCCACAUUGGAACUGAGACACGGUCCAAACUCCUACGGGAGGCAAGCAUG
rnacentral:rRNA from 1 species